GACGAACGCUGGCGGCGUGCCUAAUACAUGCAAGUCGAACGCGUGGCGGACGGUUGAGUAAUGCUUGGCCAUCUGGCUUAUGGAGAGGGAUAACUACGGGAAACUGUAGCUAAUACCACGUACCAUAGGAUGAGCCCAAGUGGGAUUAGGUAGUUGGUGAGGUAAUGGCUCACCAGGCCGACGAACCCUGGCUGGUCUGAGAGGAUGAGCAGCCCCACUGGGACUAAGACACGGCCCAGACUCCGACGGGAGGCAGCAGUGGGGAAUAUUGCGCAAUGGGGGCAACCUGACGCAGCCAUGCCGCGGGAAUGAAGAAGGCCUUCGGGUUGUAAAGUUCUUUCGGUAGCGAGGCGUUAACUACAGAAGAAGCACCGGCUAACUCCGUGCCAGCAGCCGCGGUAAUUC
rnacentral:rRNA from 1 species